UACGUAGGGGGCGAGCGUUGUCCGGAAUUACUGGGCGUAAAGGGUGCGUAGGCGGCCGAUUAAGUCAGAUGUGAAAUACCAGGGCUCAACCGUGGGGGUGCAUUUGAAACUGGUUGGCUUGAGUGCAGGAGAGGAAAGUGGAAUUCCUAGUGUAGCGGUGAAAUGCGUAGAGAUUAGGAGGAACACCAGUGGCGAAGGCGACUUUCUGGACUUAUACUGACGCUGAGGAACGAAAGCGUGGGGAGCAAACAGGAUUAGAUACCCUGGUAGUCCCUGA
rnacentral:rRNA from 1 species